ensembl:rRNA 5S_rRNA 5S ribosomal RNA
GUCUAUGGCCAUACCACCCUGAACGCUCUUGAUCUCGUCUCAUCUCGGAAGCUAAGCAGGCUCAGGCCUGGUUAAUACUUGGAUGGGAGACCUAUUUCCAAUUAACGCCAAGAGU